GACGAACGCUGGCGGCGUGCUUAACACAUGCAAGUCGAACGCUGAAGCUUGGUGCUUGCACUGGGUGGAUGAGUGGCGAACGGGUGAGUAAUACGUGAGUAACCUGCCCUUGACUCUGGGAUAAGCCUGGGAAACUGGGUCUAAUACUGGAUAUGACAUUCCACUGCAUGGUGGUGUGUGGAAAGGGUUUUACUGGUUUUGGAUGGGCUCACGGCCUAUCAGCUUGUUGGUGGGGUAAUGGCCUACCAAGGCGACGACGGGUAGCCGGCCUGAGAGGGUGACCGGCCACACUGGGACUGAGACACGGCCCAGACUCCUACGGGAGGCAGCAGUGGGGAAUAUUGCACAAUGGGCGGAAGCCUGAUGCAGCGACGCCGCGUGAGGGAUGACGGCCUUCGGGUUGUAAACCUCUUUCAGCACGGAAGAAGCGAGAGUGACGGUACGUGCAGAAGAAGCGCCGGCUAACUACGUG
rnacentral:rRNA from 1 species